AUUGAACGCUGGCGGCAGGCCUAACACAUGCAAGUCGAGCGGAUGAAGGGAGCUUGCUCCUGGAUUCAGCGGCGGACGGGUGAGUAAUGCCUAGGAAUCUGCCUGGUAGUGGGGGAUAACGUCCGGAAACGGGCGCUAAUACCGCACACGUCCUGAGGGAGAAAGUGGGGGAUCUUCGUACCUCACGCUAUGAGAUGAUCCUAGGUCGGAUUAGCUAGUUGGUGGGGUAAAGGCCUACCAAGGCGACGAUCCGUAACUGGUCUGAGAGGAUGAUCAGUCACACUGGAACUGAGACACGGUCCAGACUCCUACGGGAGGCAGCAGUGGGGAAUAUUGGACAAUGGGCGAAAGCCUGAUCCAGCCAUGCCGCGUGUGUGAAGAAGGUCUUCGGAUUGUAAAGCACUUUAAGUUGGGAGGAAGGGCAGUAAGUUAAUACCUUGCUGUUUUGACGUUACCAACAGAAUAAGCACCGGCUAACUUCGUG
rnacentral:rRNA from 1 species